rnacentral:rRNA from 1 species
CCUACGGGUCGCAGCAGUGGGGAAUAUUGCACAAUGGGCGCAAGCCUGAUGCAGCCAUGCCGCGUGUAUGAAGAAGGCCUUCGGGUUGUAAAGUACUUUCAGCGGGGAGGAAGGGAGUAAAGUUAAUACCUUUGCUCAUUGACGUUACCCGCAGAAGAAGCUCUGGCUAACUCCGUGCCAGCAGCCGCGGUAAUACGGAGGUUGCAAGCGUUAAUCGGAAUUACUGGGCGUAAAGCGCACGCAGGCGGUUUGUUAAGUCAGAUGUGCAAUCCCCGGGCUCAACCUGGGAACUGCAUCUGAUACUGGCAAGCUUGAGUCUCGUAGAGGGGGGUAGAAUUCCAGGUGUAGCGGUGAAAUGCGUAGAGAUCUGGAGGAAUACCGGUGGCGAAGGCGGCCCCCUGGACGAAGACUGACGCUCAGGUGCGAAAACGUGGGGAGCAAACAGGAUUAGAUACCCGCGUAGUC